CAGUCGGGGGAAAGGUAAACCACAGCCCAAGGAGCAUGGAAAAAAUUAUCAGAGAAACUAGGCGAGGAUGGAAGCAGCACUCAGAGUCAUCUGGUGCUGGGAGCAUCUGCUUGUGUGUACACAGAGGGAAGCAGCACACAGAAAUGGCUCUGAGCAGCCACGCUGGAUGUUUAUUGCAGAGAGGACUGGGACAAAUGAGAACAUCUCCACAUUUUCAGCAGGCUGUGCACAACGUGCGUGACUCUCACAGUGACCACAGACCUCAGGAACAGUGGAUUUUCUUUUCAACACCAGCACUUGAGAGCUUAUGGACAGACCUUUAAAAUUGCACCAAAGGGAAGUGCAGAGACAGCUGAGACUCUUCCAGCUGGAAGCAUUCUCCAACCCUCACUUCCUGACAGAGGCAACGGGAGAUGGAGAUGGCAGAUGAGUCGACACAGUUGGAUUCAAUUGGCCCAUGAAUCCAAACAACCAUCACCAGAAUCCAACCAGCAACCACCUGGGUAAACAAUGUCCAUACCACAUUCCACAUGGGACAAACACAGGCGCAGAUAAUGUAAUUCCCCGUACUAACCAAGCAUUCAAUAGUGCAUCAAAAAAGCGCCUCGAAGUGGAGGAUUGACAAGCUGCUAAUCCAAUCCUCUGCCAGUCACAGGGUGCCGUGUAAAAGGGAUCCUUUGUUCUCCAGGAGCCGCCUGAGUUCCGUUAGUAUCCACAUCCAGAGCCCUGGGCACAAUAUCAAUGCUAAUACCGUUGUUACGGAGAUGGAAAGCCGUUAAGGAUGAACAAUAAUCAGCUCACAAUAUCCUUGGACAUAUUCAUGCAGCUUGUACCGGGGUGAGAUCCGAUAGCUCUAAACCUUUCUGAGGAGAAAACGAAAAUCCAAUUAACAUCUUCCGUGUAACCCUCCCCGGCUACUUUCACUGGAGAUGACCUUGGGCAGCUGUGUUGCCAUUUUGCCAAACCCUCAAUGAUGUCUUUAAUUCGCUGGUGUUGUUGGGCUCUGCCCAAACAGGAGGCCUGGCUCUGCAGCUCACCUCUCACGCUGGGCAAGACUUGCUGACAGAAGUUCCCUCAGCUCACCAGGGUCUGAGCUGAGCUGUGGCACAGACGGAUUUUGGGACUCUCACAUCCUUGGGGAUGUCCAACCCAACCGCGUGCUCUCCACAUCUCUGCUCCUCUGACAAGCAGCCUGCAAUGAGACUGGCAGAUAUUGCAUGACAGUGAACCUCCUCCUGGUAACCUCAUGGCUCAAGGCUUCCAUGGGCACAUCAUCCACCAGGUCUGGUGCUAAUCAGCACCAGCAGGAUCCUGAAGGGAGUGAGAUCUUGAUGGAAAGAAGUGUGCUCAUUCCCAGGCAGCACGGACAGCUGCUGGACAUAAAGCUUUUCCUUCUCUUGGCUGUACAAUCCGCAGGGACAGAGGUAAAAGAUUUGUUACUGGCUGUGCUAAUGCCACGGAGAUGUUCAACAUGAAUUGUAAGUUGUCUUCAACCUGAAUCUUUGUUGCAGCUGCUGUCAACACCACAAGUGAAGAUCCCAAAAUAUAAAGCAUUUUGAACUCUU